UGCCAAGCGGGUACUUUCCUUUUCAAACAUGGUGGAGACAAGGUACUCCAGCUUGGAUCCAGAAGUUAAUAUCAGUUCCUUCUCCAUUACUAAAGACCUUGGUGACAUUGAGGGGUUGCAGAAGAUUCAUGACUUCCUUCAUGAUAGCCCUGGCCUUGUCACUGCCAGUGAACUGCAGUCCAGUGGGUAAGAAGGUUCCUGAGUCAGCUUCCAUCACCAAGCUGUACUUGGAAAU
rnacentral:lncRNA from 1 species